rnacentral:lncRNA from 1 species
CGUGUUGUUUGCUCUCUUUAUCACUUCGCCAAUAUCCCUGGCACAAAGUUGAUCAGAGAACAUUUAACAUGAGAUUGCUUUCCUUAAACCUUCUCAUAUCAUGAAGAACAAAAUUGUUUUAUCCUUAAUUAAACGCAGACCAGACUUUCCACCACGUAUUCACGUCCAUCAUUUUGACCUAACUCAAGAAAUAGACCCCCGAUCAGAGAACAUUUAAUCAAACCUUCUCAUACCACCAAGAACAAAAAUAUUUUAUCCUUAAUUAAACUCAGACCAGACUUUCCAUCACGUAUUCACGUCCAUCAUUUAGACCUAACUCAAGGCAUAGAACCCAAAUAUAAGCUAGACUCUCGAAAGUUUUUCCCCAGUUAUCGGAAAAGUUCACAACAUUGGCCUAUGUCAGUUAAAAGGGAAUAAUUGUUUGCUUAGAAAAGUUAAACCCCUAGUAGAGGAAACACUAGAAACUUUAGGGUGAGCAGAAC